CUAGUCAGGUACAUGAUGUACCCACUGCUGCCUUAAGCACUGGAACUGGAACUGGGAGAAAGACACGGAAUCUUCUUUCAUGGAGCUUAUGGCUCACAGCGCAGACACCACACAGAGUCUAGAGAGGGCACAGGAACGUCUUCCCGGCAAAGGGCACCAUUCGUCCAGCAUCUGAAAGUUGAAAAGUAGCUGGGCACGGGAUGUUGGUGUGAUUUGUCUGCCUUGCGUGCUGAGAACUGGGAUGCCAAGACAGGGAUUGAACACACCUCCCUUCCUGACUGCAAACCUGGUCAUUUUCUCACUACAACAUUAGAGUAAAUUGCAAAUAGG